AUUAGGGUUGGAAGAGACCUCUGGAGAUCAUCUGUUUGAAGACCCUGCCAAGGAAUGCAUCCAGGCAGGAUUUGGGUGUCUCCAGAGACGACUGUUCUGAAAUGCCUGAGCAAUGGGAAGGAAAGGCCACUCAGUUCCCCCUGUACCUAAUUAAAUACAGGAAAGAUUGGACAGAAGGAGCCAGGAACAGCCCUCUUGUUCCAGGCCAGGAACUGAUUCUAAAUGGAAGAGGUGCUGAUACUACUUCAGAUGAAAAGCUACAAGGAAGGUCCCAUGUCUGAGCAGUUAACAAGUACUUGUGAUAAACUUGUCAAACCACAGGAUUUCCUUCUGCCCUACGAUGUAACUGUGUGAUUCAGAGGCACAGUCUGAAGACAAGAAGAAAUCAGGACUGAAGAAUCAAUACUUCUGCAAUAAUUACUGUUCCUGGACUAUGAUUUCUAGCUCCUGAGCAAGAUGAGAGUGAGAGUGAGCUUCGUCUUUAGAGGAGAGGCUGAUUUGAAGCUGGAGCUGCUACAUGCCCUUGCCUAAAGGCAGAAUUCUGCUUUCCCAGAGCUUCUGCCUGGGUUUGUCCCUGAGGAGCCAUUAAGCAGCUCUGAUGGAGAGAACAGAUAGGAAAAGCACUGCCCUGAUAAAAGUGGCCAUGUGGGGGGGAAGAAUAGAGGAGAGACUGUCUGUUUUUAAGUAACAAUCACAAAGGAUAAAACUUUGUCCUUUCUAGGAAACAAUGUGAUUUAUUGCUGAAACUGCUGGAUGACACUAACUUCAGAGUCAUCAUUUGCUGAGGAGAGCUGUCUCCUCCUGUAUCUCUUUUCCACUUAAUCUCUGGCUUCACAUGAGGCUGUUUUACUUACAGCGCAAGCAAGCAAGAAUAGGCAUCACAUGCAGCAGCAACCUAACAGACACCAUGAGCACCAACAAGCUAGCAUGCAUGCCUUUAGACGCCCAAGCAACCACCCAGCAAUGUUUCCCUAUCCAAACUGGACAUCUCCUAAAAAGGCAGUUGAGAAUUCAGCUGUCCAGGUUUUGUGAUGGAAUCUGUUAGACCAACCUUCACUACAACAUAUUAGCCUUUGGCUUCAGCUGGAAUUAAACACAACAUAGCACAUGAUCCCCUCACUGAACAAAAUCCCCAUGCUGAGCAGACCUAAGGAAAGGAGGUGGAAUCCCAUCCUGCUCUCCUGGUCUGUUUCUCAUGUAGAUUUGCUAUAAAGGAAGUGUUACUCUAAAUUAUGUCUUUAGGUAAGAAACAUCCAUAUCAAACACACCAUUAAACCUCACUCAGAUCAUGUAUGGAUGGCUGCCACACCUCUUCCCUUGUUACCAAUCAUCAGUCACUGACCUGAGAUAAUGGUUUCCUCUGUCCGCAGUUUAUGCCUCCAAUGAAAAUCAUAUUGGGCAUUAUGGGCAUGGGAUAGUCAAAGACAAAGUCAAGUCUUUUCAGCCAAACAGAUCCAUGACUUAAAAGCUGCGUCAUUGUCAUUGGCUUUUGGAGGAAGUCUGAGGCCAGGCUUUCGAAUCCUGAAAAGGCCACACUGCAGGUGAAAGUCUCUGAAAGGCUUAUCAGGAAGUUCUUCACUCUCUGAGAGAAUGUCAUGUGGUCUGUAUUUUGUGAGAAUAGGCGUGGGACAUAGGAUGGUGGGUCUGGCGCCUGAGCAGCGUGCAUGUCUAUAGCGCAUGGGACGCCCCGCAAGAAGAAAACAGUAGGGAUAGAAAAUUUCAAAGCAAUUAUCUGUCCACAGGGUGUCAGAGGAUCUGUAAAGACGACAUCGAAUUUACUUUCUUCAAUGUAUUUCAUCAGCUCUUUGUUGUACAGUAAGAAACUGCAGGAAGCUUGAAACAUGGCAGAGCUCUUCUUGAAGUUAUUCCACAUAUUCAUAAACCUGGUCAGGAAAGGAUCGUUGCUAAAAGCAAGUUCACUAAGGGCAUGCAAACCUUCUUCCAUCUCUUCCUUUUUGAAAGGUACAGGAUAAGUUUUCAUUUCAUAUGUCCCCGAGGAAUCUACCAGCAUUUUGCUCUCUGGUGCCACAACAACUAUUUCAUGCCCUUUCUUGUUCAGCUCGGCCAGCACUUCCUUCAUACUGAGCCAGUGGCUGCCCUCCAUAGGGAUUACCAGGAUCUUCCCAGCAGUGGCAGGACUCAGGCAGCACAAGAAGAGGAGCAGCACUGCCACCAGCAUGUUGCAGGUUGGAUGGGUAGGAACCCACACACAAGAGAGCUCAGCAGGGGUUCACAAGCUUUUGUAGCUGUGCUCCACCCUCGCAAACACCCCACUUGGCAGCGCUUUCUUAUCAUACCUCUGCCCUUUCAACUUGCCUCUGCCUUUCGGGUGCUCGCAAGUUCACGUGCAAUGAAGUCACCAUCGGUGAGUAAUGAUUGUAAAAGAUGAGAUGAUGUUUGCACUUCAAAAUGCACGAGCACAGCAAAGGUGUGUCUCCUAUUGUACGCUUGGCUCAGGCAAGCUGAAACUACAGCUCAAUAUCUCAGCCUUCUUCUUCUCACAGUAGGACCUCAGCCUUAUGACACUUCUUACCUUUACAACCCAGCAACUUUUGCUGACAUGUACUGACAACGUGCUCUAAGGUGCAUGGGGAUCCAUGAAGGAAAUGUACACACAGAGUGGAUGCCCAGAAGCCCUGCUGACCCCAUAUGGUAGUAGUGGGUUUACAAAAAUCACACUCAAACGGCUCUUUGCCCUCUAGUAUUCAAGUUCUUCCAUCUCAUCUGUUUUGAAAGGAAGAGAUGGCUGACACUGAAGGCUGACGCCUGACGGAGUUGUAACCAAGUGUAGUAAGUUGGUAUUUUUUAGUAAGUAUUUUCUUUCCUAAUGAAGCUGAGGCAGGUUGUACAGUGAAACAUAACUUACAGUAAAGAGAGAUAAAUAUGAGAAAGCAAUGUUAAGGUACCUUAGUUCCAUUUUUUGCCUUUUUUCUUUUUAAUAACCCAAACCAGUUGGUACAACUGAGGAAAAUGACUUCUUUUUUUCAUUGAUGCAAACAUGUAUUUUUUGGACAAUAAGUAGCCAACAGAACAUCUUCCCCCACCUCUACGUAACCCUCCCAUCUAACCUCUUGUCCUACUGGAUAUAAAACUCAGUUGCAGAACAGCAGUUCACGUUGUACCUGAGAUAACAUAAACUCACAACACGUUUCCAAUUCAUGAACUCACAAGUUCAUGGCCAAUGUCAGUUCAGUUCAUGACUGAAAGAGUUCAUGAACUCUGCGGGUCCAGGUCCUUCUCCAGCUGUAAACUGCUGGGGUUUUAUGUUGGUGAUAAUCUCUCACCAUAAAAGUUUAUAAGCAGGUGAUUGGGCAGGUGCCUUUGGGAUACAAUUUGUGCCUCCAGGACAUUCAAGGCUCUACAUCACUAGUGGAGCUUGCUUUCACAUUCAGCUUUUGCAAGCUUAUUUUCAAGUCUGGUUGGAAAGUUUUGACCUCAAUGAGAACCUGCCCUCCAAAAAGAGCAGCCAGAUUCAUCGCCUACGCUGUCACCAUAUCAAUAAUUUACAACAUAGAUUUGACUGAAUGGACAUUUUCAAACAGCUCAGGAGAAGGUGAUGCACAGAAACAAGCCUCUUGCUCAUAACCUCUGAAAAAGCUCUCAAAUGAACCCUAGAAGAAGAUGCUUUCAAGCUAGAUUGACACAUGAAGCAAGACAGUCAUGCAUGUUCAGUCAUCCAGUUCCAACCCCCUGCCAUGGGCCUGGACACCUUCCACUAGAGCAGGUUGCUCCAAGCCCCAUCCAACCUGGCCUUACACACUUGCCCACUCCUGACUGCAUGUCCUUUUGAAAGACGCCUUGUGAGCAACUGCUACUCCUUGUCCUUCAAUUGAACAACUAGAGUUAACCAAGUAGCACCACAGACUGUUCUGUUUAUCCCUCCAAUAAAAACCAUGUUGGGCAUCACUGGUCUCGGGAACUCAAACACAAAGUCAUAUCUCAUCAGCCAAACAGAUCCACGGCUUAGAAGGUCCACAGUUGUCACUCGCUUUUGGAAAAACUCACUUGCAAGUUUUUCAAAUUGAGCAAAGAAAGGCUUACAGUAAACGAACUCCAGCAUACGGACCAGCACGUUCUUCACACGUUGAGUAAAUAUCAUGUUAUCUGAAUUAUUGACGAAGAGCCUGGGGAUGUAGGAAAGAGGGUUUGGGCACUGGGUGGCAUCAGAAUUUGUACCACAAGAAAGUCCCCGCAGAAAGUAGAUGGAAGGAAUUGAAAGCAGCUCAGCAAUUAUGGGUCCGCACAUCUGAGUUGGAUCCGUUAAAACUACCUCAAAUUUGCUCUCUCUCAGAUACUGCAUCAUGUCUUUGUUGUGCAAGAGGCUCUUACAGUUGCUGAAAAACAACUUGGAUAUUUCUAUGGUGCUUUGGUACGUUGUAAUAAUGAU